UACGAACUGUGCGAACGUUAUUCGGAAUCACUGGGCUUAAAGGGUGCGUAGGCGGCUGCCUAAGUCAGGUGUGAAAUCUCUCGGCUCAACCCCGAACUUGCAGUGGGUACGGGCAGACUAGAGUGUGGUAGGGGAGACUGGAAUUCCGUGGUGUAGCGGUGAAAUGCGCAGAUAUCAGGAAGAACACCCGUGGCGAAGGCGGCUCUCUGGUACGU
rnacentral:rRNA from 1 species